UGCCAGCAGCCGCGGUAAUACAGAGGUCCCAAGCGUUGUCGGAUUCACUGGGCGUAAAGGGUGCGCAGGUGGGUUGGCAAGUUUGAUGUGAAAGCCCCGGGCUUAACCCGGGAAUGGCAUUGAAUACUGCUGAUCUGGAGGAUUGGAGGGGGGACUGGAAUUCUUGGUGUAGCAGUGAAAUGCGUAGAUAUCAAGAGGAACACCAGUGGCGAAGGCGAGUCCCUGGACAAUACCUGACACUGAGGCACGAAAGCCAAGGGAGCAAACAGGAUUAGAUACCCUGGUAGUCUUGGCUGUAAACGGUGCGCAUUUGCUGUAAACGGAAUCGACCCCGUUUGUGGCGAAGCUAACGCGAUAAAUGCGCCGCCUGGGAAGUACGGUCGCAAGAUUAAAACUCAAAGAAAUUGACGGGGGCCUGCACAAGCGGUGGAGUAUGUGGCUUAAUUCGAUGCAACGCGAAGAACCUUACCUGGCCUUGACAUGCAAGUGGUAGAACCAUGAAAGUGGGACGAUCCCGCAAGGGAAGCUUGCACAGGUGCUGCAUGGCUGUCGUCAGCUCGUGUCGUGAGAUGUUGGGUUAAGUCCCGCAACGAGCGCAACCCUUGUGUCCUGUUGCCACUCCCUCGAGAGAGGGAAGCACUCUGGACAGACUGCCUCGCUUAAACGAGGAGGAAGGUGGGGAUGACGUCAAGUCAGUAUGGCCCUUACGGCCAGGGCUGCACACGUACUACAAUGCAUGGCACAAAGGGAAGCUAGACCGCAAGGUGGAGCAAAUCCCAUAAAACCAUGCCCAGUUCAGAUUGUCGUCUGCAACUCGACGACAUGAAGCCGGAAUCGCUAGUAAUGGCGCAUCAGCUACGGCGCCGUGAAUACGUUCCCAGGCCUUGUACACACCGCCCGUA
rnacentral:rRNA from 1 species